rnacentral:rRNA from 1 species
CCCUUAGAUGUUCUGGGCUGCACGCGCGCUACACUGAUGCAUUCAACGAGUCUAAAACCUGCUCUGAUAGGGGUGGGUAAUCUUUUGAAUGUGCAUCGUGAUUGGGAUAGAUGAUUGCAAUUUUUCAUCUUCAACGAGGAAUGCCUAGUAAACGCAAGUCAUCAGCUUGCAUUGAUUACGUCCCUGCCCUUUGUACACACCGCCCGUCGCUCCUACCGAUUGAAUGAUCCGAUGAAUAUCAUGGAUUGAGGAUGCAAGUAGGUUAGCCUAUCUUCAUCUUCGAGAAGUGAAGUAAAUCUUAUCAUUUAGAGGAAGGAGAAGUCGUAACA